AUUGAACGCUGGCGGCAUGCUUUACACAUGCAAGUCGAACGGCAGCGCGGGGGCAACCCUGGCGGCGAGUGGCGAACGGGUGAGUAAUGCAUCGGAACGUAUCCUGUAAUGGGGGAUAACGUAGCGAAAGUUACGCUAAUACCGCAUACGCUCGAGAGAGGAAAGUGGGGGAUCGCAAGACCUCACGUUAUAGGAGCGGCCGAUGUCCGAUUAGCUAGUUGGUGGGGUAAAGGCCUACCAAGGCGACGAUCGUGUAGCGGGUCUGAGAGGAUGAUCCGCCACACUGGAACUGAGACACGGUCCAGACUCCUACGGGAGGCAGCAGUGGGAAUUUUGGACAAUGGGCGCAAGCCUGAUCCAGCCAUGCCGCGUGAGUGAAGAAGGCCUUCGGGUUGUUAAAGCUCUUUCGGCCGGGAAGGAAAUCGCAUGGGUUAAUACCCUGUGUGGAUGACGGUACCGGAA
rnacentral:rRNA from 1 species